rnacentral:pre_miRNA from 1 species
GUGAGUAAAUCUACCUCUUUGAUAUUGCAAUUUUACUAAAAAGAGGUCUAUUUUUGCACACAG